rnacentral:ncRNA from 1 species
GGGAGCCCAGUGAGCUGAGAGGUUCACGCUGGGUUCUGAGAGCAGCCGAGGGGGAGGUGCCCUUGGCUGACUCACC